rnacentral:rRNA from 1 species
GAUGAACGCUGGCGGCGUGCCUAAUACAUGCAAGUCGAGCGAACGGGCGAGAAGCUUGCUUCUCUGAUGUUAGCGGCGGACGGGUGAGUAACACGUGGAUAACCUACCUAUAAGACUGGGAUAACUUCGGGAAACCGGAGCUAAUACCGGAUAAUAUUUUGAACCGCAUGGUUCAAAAGUGAAAGACGGUCUUGCUGUCACUUAUAGAUGGAUCCGCGCUGCAUUAGCUAGUUGGUAAGGUAACGGCUUACCAAGGCAACGAUGCAUAGCCGACCUGAGAGGGGGAUCGGCCACACUGGAACUGAGACACGGUCCAGACUCCUACGGGAGGCAGCAGUAGGGAAUCUUCCGCAAUGGGCGAAAGCCUGACGGAGCAACGCCGCGUGAGUGAUGAAGGUCUUCGGAUCGUAAAACUCUGUUAUUAGGGAAGAACAUAUGUGUAAGUAACUGUGCACAUCUUGACGGUACCUAAUCAGAAAGCCACGGCUAACUACGUG